rnacentral:tRNA from 2 species
GUUUUUAUAGUGUAAAAAACACAUUACAUUUUCAUUGUAAAACUGAAACACGGUUUCUAAAAACU